rnacentral:lncRNA from 1 species
AUGCAACAUGGCCUCAAAUCCUAAGAGAUUAUGUGGUUUCUUUCACAGCCAGGAGCCAGAGGCACCACACAUCAAAAGGUGGUUUUGAAGGGGCUGCCCCCAUCACUCCUAAUGACCUCCAGUGACAUUUUGUGUGUCCACCCUGCAACUUUGGGUUUCCCUGGUUUUGAAGUCCUGGUUCUCAUGGAAUUCACAGAAGAAGAAAUGCACAUGGUCACAGCUGCUCCUUGGCAUGACUGUGCCUCAACCCCAGACUUCCUGUCUAUCAUGGCAGAAGGAGAAUUCCUUGGCUUGGGGUGGAAGAAAUCACAGCAGGUUCUUCCAUGCCCUGGACUAGACAAGCCAUCAUCAGGGCGUCUGACAAGACUGUGUCUGCCUGGAAGGAGUGGGCCCUGACCCAGCCUAUGGGCCUGUGUGUGUUGGCAAAGGUUCACAAAGAUGUUGGACUCUGGUCCUGCAGAUUGAAAACAUUUUUCAGUGGAGCCCAGG